AUCAUUUCUUGGCCUUUUAGCUAAGAUCAAGUAUAGCUUUCUUUUUUAAAAUAAACCUCACCAAGGUGAAUUUUAUUAAUUACUUUAUUUGUUUGGCUGUAUUGGGUGUUAGUUGUGACACUCGAAGUCUUGCAGCAUGCGGGACCUGUUU
ensembl:snRNA U2 U2 spliceosomal RNA